UUUCCGUAGGUGAACCUGCGGAAGGAUCAUUAACACACAUUAUCCACUUUGCUGUCUUUUUUGACCUUCGGGUUGAAAGGGGCAGCCAAAGCACCCCAGUGAAGAGUUGAAGUCCUUAACCCCACAUCCGACACACCCCCCGUCAAAGGGGGAUAUUGGCGGUCCUGUGGGGUUAAAAAUUCAAGAACCCAACAAUAAACUUGCCUAAAAAACAGAAAGCUGGUGUGUUGUGUGUGACUUUGACCCUUUUUUUUGGAAAACCUCUCAGGGGGUCUCCAACAAGGGAGGGAAGCGGAAGCACACUUCCACGGCGAGAAAGAAAAAAACCGAGAAACAACUUUUAACAACGGAUAUCUUGGUUCUC
rnacentral:misc_RNA from 1 species